rnacentral:rRNA from 1 species
AGCAGCCGCGGUAAUUCCAGCUCCAAUAGCGUAUAUUAAAGUUGUUGCAGUUAAAAAGCUCGUAGUUGAAUUUCGGGGUUAGUAGAUUGGUCAUGCCUCUGGUAUGUACUGGUCUCACUGAUUCCUCCUUCCUGAUGAUCCGUAAUGCCAUUAAUUUGGUGUUGCGGGGAAUUUGGACUGUUACUUUGAAAAAAUUAGAGUGUUUAAAGCAAGCUAACGCUUGAAUACAUUAGCAUGGAAUAAUGAAAUAGGACGUUCGAUCCUAUUUUGUUGGUUUCUAGGAUUGACGUAAUGAUUAAUAGGGAUAGUUGGGGGCAUUAGUAUUCAAUUGUCAGAGGUGUAAUUCUUGGAUUUAUUGAAGACUAACUACUGCGAAAGCAUUUGCCAAGGAUGUUUUCAUUAAUCAAGAACGAAAGUUAGGGGAUCGAAGACGAUCAGAUACCGUCGUAGUCUUAACCAUAAACUAUGCCGACUAGGGAUCGGAUGAUGUUAAUUUUUUAAUGACUCA